GCCUCUGUGGUCCAGUUGCGGGAUGGACGCUGGUCUGAAAAGCCGGAGACAGGAGUUCGACUCUCCUCGGAGGCA
rnacentral:tRNA from 1 species